rnacentral:lncRNA from 1 species
AGAAAUCUCAGGAUUGUCCUGACCUCAGAAAAUUUAAAUCAUGUUCUCGAUCAGGAUCCCGUAGUGCCACCAAAUCAUCCUACUGCUGAGCAAAGAGCUGCUUUUAAGAAGUGGACGGAUAAAGACAGUCAGGUCAAGUGCUAUAUGCUAGCAUCCAUGUCCAAUGAGUUGCAAAGCCAGCAUGAGCAUAUGUCCACUAUCCGGGCC